CAACUACUCCCUCCGUCCCAAAAUUCUUGUCUUAGAUUUGUCUAGAUACGGAUGUAUUUAAUACUAAAACAUGACUUGAUACAUCCGUAUUUAAACAAAUCUAAGACAAGAAUUUUGGGACGGAGGGAGUACAAU
rnacentral:pre_miRNA from 1 species